UAGCAAGUUUGAGAACCACUGCCUUAAGAUAUGCUGGAGGAAAUGUCUGAUGGCAACUCACAGACUCUGCUGUUGCUAGGGAACAGGAGCUGUGACAACAGCGGGAAGCUAGCCCUGGACAUUACAAUCACCAGCACUCCCUCCAUUAUUGUUGUAACAAGCUAGCCCACACCUGCACAGGACACUGCUAUGGUAGUUCCUUGUCUAUAUGGCAGAAUGGUCCUAGGUACUCAGUCCUCUAGCUAUGUUAUGCUGCUCAGACCAUAGGAAGGAGGGUGUGAUGUCAAAUGACCUAUAACACUAGCUCUAAAGUAGGGAAAGGGAGAUAUGGAUAGAGGCUGUAUAUUGCUGAGGCCCUGCCACUCCAGCUUCAGGACACAGAGGGAUGGGCAUGUCCAGGGAAAAGUUACUGUGUUGCACAGCCCUUCUGUGGCUUCUACAGGGCUGUAUCUUCAGGAUUCCCAGCUGCAGUGUGGUUGCCCCCAGUCUACUCCACAGCCGUUCAGGACUCCAUCUGAGCCUCAUUUUCCACAAAACAAGUUCGUCACUGACUAUGUGGGGGUGGGGAUAGAGAGAGAAGAACCACUUCCCAGUAUACACCCUUCCACCAUCUCACUUCCUCUUAAGUCAUCUCUUUCCAAUCCCUGUUGCUCCCCCCUUCUUCCCAAUUCCCCAGGGACCUCAGAUUCUUUCCAUUCUGGGGAGCAAACAUUGCUAUGGUUUGGGUGUGAUCAGAAUGUACCCCAAGGGUUCUUGUGUUAGAAGCCUGGCCUCCAGCAUGAAGACAUUAAGAGGCAGGUGCCAGGGGGCUGUCAGAAUAGAGCAGGGUGGUUUUGUGGUAUUUUUAUAGCUCUUGUGAGAACAGCUUGUCCUUCCCUGUGUUGUCUUUCUGUCUGUCAUGUGCAUUUCAUACUAGUCACAAUGAUAUGACAUAGCCAAGGAGGCUGUUGCCAGAGCCAUGCCAUUCAGACUUCCAACCUCUGGACUCUGAGCCAAAUGAACCUCUUUUCUUUAUAAACUACCCAGAUUCAGGUAUUUCCUCAUUGUAAUGGUAAGUAGACCUGGGUAGCAUACAGUAGCAGCUGGUAUUCAUGAUGGAUGGAAGCUGAGGUCAUGGUUUUGCUACAUUUUUUCCUGUUUUGGACUGCCUGGUCUAGUCUGGUGCCUAAAAUGGGUCUGCUCAAGGGUGGUUGGUCUCAUCUGGCUUUGGUGCAGUGUAGCCACCUAUCACUGAAAUCCACAGUUCGUAAAUCUGCCCACACUAGCCUUUCUAGGACACUUGGUGUCCUACCCUGGGCCCCAGGGAAACUGCAGAUACCACUCACAAUGUGUGCCACAGGCCUUAUUUGCCUGCCUGCUUCUUUCUGUAAAGGCUGCACUGUGGACCCUGCACCAUGAUCUUGGGCAGCUGGGCACCAGCUUCCCUUUCUACCCUGCCAGAGCCAUGCUCUCAGCCCCUCCCUGAUGUUUCUGCCUGGCCCCCUUCCAGGGUCCCCACCCCCAGAGCUGGAAAAGCCAGAUCCUGUGUGGCUGGUUGGUCUUGUCAUCCUAUUGCCAUCAUCUCUGCAGAACAGACAUGAGGUGAGGGUUGGGGGCACACAAGAGGAUCAGAGCCGCCUCCCUCACCUCCACUAGCUCUCUACUAGCUCAGGACUUCCUCCAGGUUGAGUCUUUCAGGGCCAAGAGAGGACAUACAGUUUCAAAGCUUGCCUGUGUUGCAGGAAGCAGCUGUUAUAAGCAAGCAUACUACAGACCAGGCCCUUUGCACACGGCAGUGACUUGCUCGUAUCCAGGCACUGAAUUCUUGCUGCCUGUGGGAAGCUGAGCUAUUGUUGUCUGUCGAGCUGGCUCAUCACUGGGUGUGUGUGCUGGCUGAGACAAGGCACAUGAGCAUAAAUGGAGCAUGUGCACGGCCACCAUCACUAUGGAAAUCAUGACUCUGAAGGCUGGUGCUGAGUCUAAAUGAGUUGAAAUUUGAAGAACACAUCCAUCACAUAGGUUCACACUGGUUCAGGCUUGCAUCUCAUUACUGUACCACUCUGCCUAUGUAUUAUGAAUUAAUAUAUCUAAUAAAUCCUGCAAUUAUCUUGUGAACAGUA